rnacentral:rRNA from 1 species
CGACAGCAAUGUGAAGGUCAGGCUGAAGACCUUACCCGAUUAGCUGAGAGGUGGUGCAUGGCCGUCGUCAGUUCGUACUGUGAAGCAUCCUGUUAAGUCAGGCAACGAGCGAGACCCACGUCCACAGUUGCCAGCAUACCCUCCGGGGUGAUGGGUACACUGUGGAGACCGCCGCUGCUAAAGCGGAGGAAGGAGUGGGCAACGGUAGGUCAGUAUGCCCCGAAUCUCCCGGGCUACACGCGGGCUACAAUGGUUGGUACAAUGGGCAUCUACCCCGAAAGGGGAAGGAAAUCUCUUAAAGCCAAUCGUAGUUCGGAUUGAGGGCUGCAACUCGCCCUCAUGAAGCUGGAAUCCGUAGUAAUCGCGUUUCAACAGAACGCGGUGAAUACGUCCCUGCUCCUU